AUUGAACGCUGGCGGCAGGCCUAACACAUGCAAGUCGAGCGCGAAAGUUCUUCGGAAUGAGUAAAGCGGCGGACGGGUGAGUAAUGCAUGGGAAUCUGCCUGGUAGUGGGGGACAACGUUUCGAAAGGAACGCUAAUACCGCAUACGCCCUACGGGGGAAAGGGGGGGAUCUUCGGACCUCUCGCUAGCAGAUGAGCCCAUGUCAGAUUAGCUUGUUGGUGAGGUAAAGGCUCACCAAGGCGACGAUCUGUAACUGGUCUGAGAGGAUGAUCAGUCACACUGGAACUGAGAAACGGUCCAGACUCCUACGGGAGGCAGCAGUGGGGAAUAUUGGACAAUGGGCGAAAGCCUGAUCCAGCCAUGCCGCGUGUGUGAAGAAGGCCUUAGGGUUGUAAAGCACUUUCAGUGGGGAGAAAGGUUAUUCACCUAAUACGUGAGUAAAUUGAUGUUACCCACAGAAGAAGCACCGGCUAACUCCGUGCCAGCAGCCGCCGCUG
rnacentral:rRNA from 1 species